AUCACUUUUCUCUCUCACCGAGAUCUCAAUUUAGCAUAACCACUUUUCCACUGUCGCACACCCUUGACCACCAUCAUGCUCACACCAUCGACCACCGUCAAGUUUCACCGACGAAUUUCACACCGUCAUUCAUCCUUCUCACCCUCCACCGUCACGCAUUCUCAUUCUGUCGAGCUUCUCACCGAACUGAAUCUCACCGUCGAGCUUCACACGUCAUCGAUCGAGCUUCACAGUCGCGGAUCCAUUGAACGUCAUCAUCCAAUUUCACAAUUGAAGAUCUAAUUUCACAAAUCCUUUUUCCUCUUUCGCUCACGCAGAGGCAGAGAGCAUCUAUAAGGAUGGAUAAGUGCUGGUUACAUGAGAAGAGAUCUUCAAUAAGGUACUUAUAUGGCUUGCAUAAUUUUCUCGAUUUUGCAUUUCGUAAUGUAGUUGAAGGGAAUGAAAUAUUGUGUCCAUGUAAGAACUGUAAGAAUUGUAGUUCGGGUAAUCAAGAGGAUGUGUUUGAGCAUUUGUUUUGUGACGGAUUUGAUGCAAGUUAUAAGAAAUGGAUUUUUCAUGGAGAGGGACUAUCUUCAAGAACACCCUAUGAUAAAAAACCAUGAAAAAUAUAACUUGCACGAUGACUUGGAUGGGCUCUUAGAGGAUACUUUUAUUGAAACACAAUUUAGUAAUGGUGAGUUUGAUGAUAUCUAUGAUGACGAUAGUGAAGAUCUUGAUGAGGAUGCAACUAGGUUUUACAAAUUAGUACAUGAUGCGCAACAAGAAGUAUAUCCUGGUUGUAAAAAUUUCACUAAGUUAUCGAUCAUUGUUGUUUGUUGCACAUUAAGAAUCUCAUUUAAUAUGUUGCUACAACUAUUAAAUGAAUUACUUCCUGAAAACUCUUGAUUACCAUCAAUUGUCCAAGAUUACAAGUAUAUCAUUAAGGACUUAGGUUUUAGUUAUGAGAAAAUUCUUGCUUGUCCUUAUGAUUGUAUCCUAUAUCGGAAGGAGUAUGAGAAUGAAGAUACAUGUCCUAAGUGUGGUCUUUCUAGAUACAAAAAACGUGAGGUUCCAAAAUCUAACAUAAAAGUUCCAAAAUUUAAGAACUGAUAUGUUUAAGAACUUUUAAUAUCGGCUAGCAUGCAUUAUAUUGUUUAUUUUGGUAGGACAAAAAGUUGAAUAUUGUAAAAGGAUGCAAGAUUUGAUGAAGAAAGAGAAGGAAAAUAAAUUUUAGAGUGUCAACAACUUGGAACAAAAAGAAUCAAGCAGAAAACAAAAUGGAAGGCUGAUAAUAUGGUUGGAUGAAUAGGAACAAUGCAGUGGGAUAUUUUAUAGAGUACAUGUUACAUUGGAUGAAAACUUGUAAUUAUUUUAGUAUGACAUUCAAAUUGUGUUGCAUAGUUCUAGUUGUGUUGCAUAUUUCAUUUUCAUUAUGCAAGAAUAAGAACACUGAAGGGGGAAAUUGUAGAGUAUGUAAUUCAAACUUGUUAUUAAAACUUGUAUCUAAUAUUGGUUAAUUCAAA